UUACGCUUUUUUAAUCGAGAA
ensembl:piRNA 21ur-9820 ncRNA